GUUUUGCGUGAGGGAUUGAAGUAGAAAUCCUUUUGUGAAGAAUGAACAAAAGAUUGUAACGGAAAGCCCGACCACGC
rnacentral:sRNA from 1 species